rnacentral:rRNA from 1 species
UACGUAUGGUGCAAGCGUUAUCCGGAUUUACUGGGUGUAAGGGAGCGUAGACGGAGGGGCAAGUCUGAAGUGAAAGCCCGGGGCCCAACCCCGGGACUGCUUUGGAAACUGUCCGUCUGGAGUGCCGGAGAGGUAAGCGGAAUUCCCAGUGUAGCGGUGAAAUGCGUAGAUAUUGGGAGGAACACCAGUGGCGAAGGCGGCUUACUGGACGGUCACUGACGUUGAGGCUCGAAAGCGUGGGGAGCAAACAGG